rnacentral:rRNA from 1 species
CUGGCGGCGUGCCUAAUACAUGCAAGUCGAACGGUCUUUCUAUGGAAGCUUGCUUCCACUGAAAAGAUAGUGGCGAACGGGUGAGUAACACGUGGGUAACCUGGCCCAUAAGAGGGGGAUAACAUCCGGAAACGGGUGCUAAUACCGCAUAGUUUUCUUGAUCGCAUGAUCGGGAAAGGAAAGACGGCCUUUGUGCUGUCGCUUAUGGAUGGACCCGCGGCGUAUUAGUUAGUUGGUGAGGUAACGGCUCACCAAGACGAUGAUACGUAGCCGACCUGAGAGGGUGAUCGGCCACAUUGGGACUGAGACACGGCCCAAACUCCUACGGGAGGCAGCAGUAGGGAAUCUUCCGCAAUGGACGAAAGUCUGACGGAGCAACGCCGCGUGAGUGAAGAAGGUUUUUACCGGAUCGUAAAACUCUGUUGUCAGAGAAGAACAAGUUGGAGAGUAACUGCUCCAGCCUUGACGGUAUCUGACCAGAAAGCCACGGCUAACUACGUGCCAGCAGCAGC